AAAAUCUACAUGAAAUUAUAUCUACCCUUUGCUCCACGGUUAAAAAUGAUAAAGACUAGUGAAAACUAUUUUUCACUUAAAGAACUAAAUUAACAAGCACCAUAAAUUUGCUUAAUGGAUAACUACACUAUGCAUAAUCCUGAAGGAAGAAUAAUCCUACACGACCCAUAAUGCUGAAAUUAUCCUCAUGGAAAAUCUUCAUUUUAAUGGUUGGUAUAACAGCACUAGAGAACUCACCGAAAU